rnacentral:lncRNA from 1 species
ACCUCACUACUAUCAGAUAAGUUUCCUCUAUUAUUAAACUUGUUUGUAGACUUUGUUUGUUCCCCCUUUGAAGCAUCAGACCUGUAUGGCUGUUUUGAACCUUCAGGUUUCCCAUCUUUUUUAUCUUUAGCAUCUUUAUUUUUCUCAGUCAUCCCAUGUUUCUUUUUAUACUGUGUAUUCUUUUUCUGUUUGUGUUGGUCAGGUCUCAUUUUGGGGAUUUACUAUGGAAUCUAAAAUAGUUAAUAUAUAUCAUAUCACAUGUUGAAA